rnacentral:lncRNA from 1 species
AUUGUGUGCCAUAUAGAUUGGUUGUUCUCUUAACUAAGGAGUAUGAUGAUAUUGGUAUGGUAUACAGAUGAGAUGUAGGAGUACAUCGUCACUAAAUAAGUAACUCACCUACGGAGCGCUCUGCUGUCAAGAGUAGCUCACAAAGCAUAUGGGCAUAAGUAUCCCUCAGAUCUGAGAUCACCAUAGUGACUUACAAGCAACUUGCUGUGCUUUGAUGUCAGACUAUCUACAUUUCUAAUGCAGUGAUGGAAGGCUAUUGGGUGCGGUCAAGUAGUUACGAAGUCUGUGUAUGGAUCAAGAUGGGAUUGAUCCCUCCAAAUUAUCGAAGUUAAUGUAUCACUGUAUUUUAAUUUAUUAAACCUUGGGUCUAGAUAAUCCAUGUGAUG